CCAUAAGUUUUCUCAUGCAGCUGAAACUCACCGGAUAAUUCCUCUAACUACCAUUCCUUGAUUUGGCGUCUUCCCUGUUCUGUGUCAGGGAUCCGAAGCAAAGAAUCGGAUCAGCAAAUGCUCGCGCCAGUUUUUUUUGUUCCAUCGAAACGUUUUUUUAUUCUCUGUAUUAAAUUGAUUUAGGUUCAUUAUCAAUUAGCAUCACGUACCACGAACUGCUAUCAGAUUCACAAACGGAGAUGCUAAGUGAUGGAGAAGAUACCCCUUCCAGGCAUGAAUUGUUGAGUAUGGUUAAGAAGCACUCCGCCCUGCUAGGGAAAGGCACCCUCGACGAACGAGAUGCCUCUGAUGUUGAAAUGGAUUGCCGCUUUUGGUAUGAUAUGUUAGAUUUGUACUUUAUCCGUUGUAAAGAGUCAAGGGGACGGCAGGAUGACGAUCUCGUAUUUUUUGUCAGAAACAUGGGCACAGAAGGAUAUGGUUUGAAUGAUACUGUGCAGGACCUCCCUCCUUACUUUGUACGCAGGUGGGCACCUAAGUUGGAGAAUUUGAUCAGUGAGAAUUCAAAGGAGGUAGAUUGGAGGCGCUCAUUUUAUUUGAAUUUAAUUGCACACACGUCUUUCACAGUAACAGUUGCAAUUUGCAGUCAUCAGGUCCUUCGUAAUCAUCAAGCUGGGCAAGAUACACCAUUAUCUCCCAUAUACAAGGUUGUAAAAACAGUGUAUGCAUCACCAAGUCGUGUAGAUUUUCAAUUGGACUCAAAAAAGGAACAAGAGACAACUCCCGCCUAUCCAGAUAUCUGUUUUGCAGUAGAUGAUUUUGACUCCACUUUUGAUGCAGUGGUCUUGACAGAAACAGACCACUGUUACUGUGUACUUCUCAAUGCACAUGAUGGAGCAGCAUUUCCCAGUGAAAAAGAGUCACCUGAUAACAGUUCCAGUGGUAAUACCCCUCUUAAUGUUGAUAGUAACUCUGGAAAGACGAAGAAUUCUAAGCUCACUCUUUUCUCUGGGUUCGUAAGCUAUCAAAUGGUUCGGGAAGCAUAUGAUGCUGGGAAGUCUCGAUUUGGCAGUCUCCUUUCACUUGGUUAUUCUCCUGGCAAAGCAGAUAAACUGUACAUGAAGGGCCCAGGUGGAAGGGGGGAGGUUGAAGUAGCUGUCUCUGGGGUUGCUGAUCAUUGCUAAUGAUUCCAGUUGUGGACACAGCCUUAUGCAAGAGUUGGGGAAAGACUGCUAAUGGUAGUCAAUCCUCCCCAACCCUUGCAAAGAGGGGAGCCUCAUGCACGUGGCACAUCUCCUUUCAGUAAAUUUACUCAAUGAAGUGAAUGGGCGUGUACAAAUCUGUAAUACAUGGGCUAAAUCUAGGAUUUGCUGUAUCAGAUCAAAGCCAGCAAGAUUUUGGCCCCUUUUCACCAGUUACAUCAAAGAGAGGUUUUGGAAUUGGCUCAAUUGUUCGAAAAGCUGCAUCUGUUGCAUCUGUGGCAGCAAAGCAUGCCUAUGCUGCUGCUGCCUCUACAAGUUCUGAUGAUGAGAUGUUGCCCCUUAAGUGCUGCUUGAUGUCCAUAUCAUUGCCCUGGGAACAUAUUGCUUAUGAUCUUUUGUUCAAGGGAAGUCCUCCAGUGAACUUGUAAACAUCUAAGCAUAUCUAUCACCUAAAAACGCAAAAUAGGCGCGCACAGUGUGGAAGAAAACAACCAGUGGAAGUGAUAACAGUUGCCGGUGUUGCACAACUCUAUCGUAAACAAAGCUAUACAUUAAAGUUCUUCCUUUCUCUUUGCAACUUUUGGUGUCGGGUGACACGGCUUUGCCGGAAAUAUUGUAUGUUAUCUAUAACAAAGUGUUAGUUCAUUGGUAUCGGGUACAUUGUUCUGUAAGCUGCAAAAGGGAUGUUCCCGGAACAUUAACAGUUGUAGUGUAGAUAGAUGCUGUCGCAGUAUGAUUUAAGAUGUCAUGCGGUGAAUGAAGUGUUGAAACACUCAACUUGGUUAUUGCCAAGUUUACAUUUUAGUUGGCUUGAUAUUUCCUUUAUUGUUUACCCUUUUGCUUAAUGCAAUGAAUUUAUUACUUUUCCGUU